GUUGUAAUUUGUAGAGGAUGCUUUUGGUUAGGUGCCUUCUGAGUUCCCUGGAACGGGACGCCAGAGAGGGUGAGAGCCCCGUACGGUUGGACACCGAGCCUCUAUAUAGCUCCUUCGACGAGUCGAGUAGUUUGGGAAUGCUGCUCUAAAUGGGAGGUAAAUUUCUUCUAAAGCUAAAUACCGGCCAGAGACCGAUAGCGCACAAGUAGAGUGAUCGAAAGAUGAAAAGUACUUUGAAAAGAGGGUUAAAUAGCACGUGAAAUUGUUGAAAGGGAAGCGUUUGCGACCAGACUUUUUCCAGGCGGAUCAUCCGGUGUUCUCACCGGUGCACUUCGCCUGGUUUAGGCCAGCAUCGGUUCUCUUAGGGGGAUAAAGGCCUGGGGAACGUAGCUCCUUCGGGAGUGUUAUAGCCCCUAGCGUAAUACCCUUCGGGGGACCGAGGAACGC
rnacentral:rRNA from 1 species